rnacentral:rRNA from 1 species
AUGAACGCUGGCGGCGUGCCUAACACCUGCACGUCGAGCGAUUUACUUCGGUAAAGAGCGGCGGACGGGUGAGUAACGCGUGGGUAACCUGCCCUGUACACACGGAUAACAUACCGAAAGGUAUGCUAAUACGAGAUAAUAUGCUUUUAUCGCAUGGUAGAAGUAUCAAAGCUUUUGCGGUACAGGAUGGACCCGCGUCUGAUUAGCUAGUUGGUGAGGUAACGGCUCACCAAGGCGACGAUCAGUAGCCGACCUGAGAGGGUGAUCGGCCACAUUGGAACUGAGACACGGUCCAAACUCCUACGGGAGGCAGCAGUGGGGAAUAUUGCACAAUGGGCGAAAGCCUGAUGCAGCAACGCCGCGUGAGCGAUGAAGGCCUUCGGGUCGUAAAGCUCUGUCCUCAAGGAAGAUAAUGACGGUACUUGAGGAGGAAGCCCCGGCUAACUACGUG